GAACAUUUUGGUGUGGCUCGGUUGAUGUUUACUGCACGCGGUUCAGACAGGAACUGUUUUAUAGCAGACAAAAGUGUCCACAGUCACAGAGUAGAGAGCCUCUGGCGUGAUCUCUGGAUAGGGGUCACUAGCAUAUUUUACACACACUAGAGGAACAGGACAUGCUGGAUCUGAGCAGCGCUCUUCAAUUAUUUUGCUGCCAUUUGGUGUUUUUGCCCCGACUGCAAGCAAACCUAGAUUUGUUUCAUGAGAGAUGGAAUAACCAUGGGAGAUCGGACAGAUGGAAAAUCCCAUUGUCAAAUCAGAGGUGAUGACCAUUCCUGAUAUCAAAAGAGAGGACAGUGGAUCUAUCGAAGAUAAAAACAUGGCGAUGAAUAAUCCAUAGUUUAAAGGGCCUAUAAGUCCUGAACAUAUGAAGCGGUUAAGACAACAUAUUAAUCCUUUUCAACCCUCCAAGUACAAUGGCAUGGACAUUUAUAUGAGUCCAGUUUGUGCAAAAGCUGCAUACUGAAAAGUAGAUCUUGUUGCAUGUACUGUGCUUUUCAUUAUUUUUAAACUAUGUUACUUUUUUACUAGUAGAUGUCAAAUAAGCAUCAUAUCUUGUUUAAUCUUUUUUUAUCGAGCACAUUACAAUGAACAUUAAGUCUUUAAAUCAGAAUAUUACUGCAUACAAAGCUAGCAAAUGACAAAGUUGCACAAAGUAACUAAAUUUCAUGGAUAAACCCACGGUCUACAGACAGUAGACAUAUCAUCAUGUCUGCUGUUAAAGCUGAGAAAGAUGUGUGACAACAAGUAUGCUUUU